AAAAAAAGGAGGAUCAUAGUGGGGUUACUGAGAUAAUAGAGUAAUAUUAGUAAACAGCAGGUUCUGGUCUUAAGUAUUUCUGUAAAUAGUAUUUACUCGUGAUAGCCAACAUCUUAAGUGGACAGCUGAGAACAUGAAAAGCAAUACUGAUCUGUAGCUAGGGUAGAUGACCAAACUCAGGAGACUGGAAGCACCUCCAGAACUUCCACAUAGUCUUAAGAUUUACUAUGAGUUUACCGAAUUGUUUCAAAACUUGUAAGCGUAGCUUUUGUAGCCUAUAUGUUACAGUGUCUGGGAGCUGGAAGAGCACGGAGGGUGGGGAGAGGUACAAGGCAGGAGCAGGGGGCACCCACCCCGGUGCCAGCCAGGCCCACACCAACAGAACACAGCCCUGUGGGGCCUGGGCUAGGUGUGCAGAGCCCCCAAGACAGACUCCCUGGAAGGCUGAGGGGUGGAUCAGGCCGGAGGGCUUUCCAAGGAACCCAGACAGGGCCAGCAGGGGACAGGGAUGGACACAGGCACCCCUACGGCACACCUUGGUGGGGACGAAAACUGAAAUUGUGUUCCUGGGCCACACGGAGGUACUGGAGAGAGGCCUGGUGGUGCUGGGCUGGCUGCAGACCGCCUCUAUGCUAUGGAGAAACAGGACUCUUUUACAUCAGGAGUUGAAAUGCCUACAAUUGUCUACAAAACUAGGAACCAGGAAAGUAUUCUGUAGCAUACAGAAAAAAACUGAGCUGAAAAGACUGAUGUUCAUUUUGUAACAUGGAAAAUACCAUCAGCCUCAGGGAAAAGAUUUUGGGAUGGUUAGCAUAUCUUCCUUAACUUGUGAACUUUCCCAACAUGGCUUUGAACAAUAUUAAAGAAAAGUAGCAGGGAGAAUUAGGGAUUGAAGGACUUUCACUGCCAUGAAAGCCAGCUGAAUGCAUAGGGCAGAGUGACGGUAAGGGCAAUUUAGCUGCCGUCAGAACAGCACUUCCAGGCUGGAGAAGUCUUCUGCAGAGGAAUCAGAUAUGACUGGAAGAGUAGUUGACAGCAGCUGGUACACACUGUGCAUGCUGUAGCCACCUGGUGACCUGCAGCCACCUGGUGACUCACUAAACUGAGAAACAACAUUAGACAAACAAAAUAAAAUGGGGAGAAAUAAACUCGUACUUAGAGCA
rnacentral:lncRNA from 1 species